CCGCGCACGCCGGGCCGCGGGGGACGCGCGGCCAGCAGCAGGUCAGCGGCCGAGGCCGCCGAGGGACCGGCGCGCGGGCGGCCGCUGGAGCGCGCGGCCCCGCGAGGCACGGCCCCGCCGGCAGAGGCUCCAACGGCCGCCCGCGCGCGGGCCGCGCGGCACCUCCUGAGGUGGCUGCCAGGGGUGUGACAGAGAAGCAGGCAGGGCAGGAGAGAGGGGAGCUUGCCAGUGGAACACAUGACAGCCAGAUCUGCUCCAGGUAAGUGAGGGGGACACGUGCAGGGGACAGGGAGAAGGGUCUCUGCCAGGCUAGUAAAGAGAUGCAGCCUGGGCUCAUGGGAGGGCUGAACUUUCACACUGUGAUUGCUUUCCCCCAGCACAGUCCUCUGCUCCCAGGGACACUGCUCUAGAAUAUGCUACUCAGAUUUUCCAGGAGCUUUUGUAAUUCUUCCAAAGGAACAGAAGUCCACAGUGAAAUCUUGUUGUGAAUGAGGGCUUUGUUCUGCCAGGCUGCUUCUGGAAACACCUGGCUCUUUGUUAACCGCUGCACAAAAGGCCGAAACACGAAUUUGUUCUUGUGCUUUUGUUUUCAGAGCCUCCACUCCUCCAGCCUCUCCUUUCUCUUCCUCCAAGACAUGCAGGAAGCUGCACAAGUCCUCCUGGCAGCUUGGAGUGUCUGAAAUUGGCUGGAACUGCCCUGCAGCCUGCGAGGAUGGUGCUUCCCUAGCCUGAAAGUGAGGGUUUGUAUUACAUGCUUGGUGGUGCUUGAGGUGCACAGCCAGCCUGACCAGUUCAGAAGAGCAGGAAGGUUAAAGUCCAACGAGGAGCGAGCCUGGGAGCGGUGCUCGGUGCACACUCUCCCUCCGGGGCUGUUGCUUUGAAAGAGGGCAAGGUGGGACAGGGGAAGGUAACAGAGGUAUGGGGAGCAGCAGCCAGAGCCUGAGCUUGCUCCCCAGCCUGCAGCAGGAAGGAU